rnacentral:rRNA from 1 species
UACGUAGGGGGCAAGCGUUGUCCGGAAUUAUUGGGCGUAAAGAGCUCGUAGGCGGUUUGUUGCGUCGGCUGUGAAAUCCCGAGGCUCAACCUCGGGUCUGCAGUCGAUACGAGCAAACUAGAGUGUUGCAGGGGAGACUGGAAUUCCUGGUGUAGCGGUGAAAUGCGCAGAUAUCAGGAGGAACACCGGUGGCGAAGGCGGGUCUCUGGGCAACAACUGACGCUGGAGGAGCGAAAGCGUGGGGAGCGAACAGG